rnacentral:tRNA from 2 species
GGGCACGGGGCGUCGGGGGCCGACGGUGCUCGUGCCGUCGUCGGUGCCGGACGGCCGGUGCGGCCGCUCCGGGCGGGCCGCGUCCGC